rnacentral:rRNA from 1 species
CCGGUGAAUACGUUCCCGGGCCUUGUACACACCGCCCGUCAAGCCAUGGAAGCUGGGGGUACCUGAAGUCGGUGACCGUAAGGAGCUGCCUAGGGUAAAACUAGUAACUGGGGCU